GUGCACCAGGCGAGAAACCUCCGCAAUGCGGGAAACCGCGACGGGGGACCCGAGUGCCGUGGCAACGCCACGGCUUUUCCGGAGUGUAAAAGCUCCGGGAAUAAGGGCUGGGCAAGGCCGGUGGCAGCCGCCGCGGUAAUACCGGCGGCCCGAGUGGUGGCCGCUAUUAUUGGGCCUAAAGCGUCCGCAGCCGGGCCCGUAAGUCCCUGGCGAAAUCCCACGGCUCAACCGUGGGGCUUGCUGGGGAUACUGCGGGUCUUGGGACCCGGAGAGGCGGGGGGUACCCCUGGGGUAGGGGUGAAAUCCUAUAAUCCCAGGGGGACCGCCAGUGGCGAAGGCGCCCCGCUGGAACGGGUCCGACGGUGAGGGACGAAGGCCAGGGGAGCAAACCGGAUUAGAUACCCGUGUAGU
rnacentral:rRNA from 1 species